AAUAAUAUGAAGUAUUUGAUCAUUUAUUUUAACUAUUGGUUCAUGACCUGACGUCAAAUGUAGUAGUUAAUUUGGUAUAUUUUCGCACUUAAGGAGCAUGUUUUCUAGCACUUUUAGUAUUUAUUAUUGUAUUUUUGGUAUUUCGUAGUUAGUAUUAAAAUUUAAUAAAAUAAGUGUUUUUACAAAAAUUUGUGGGUGUUGUGACCUAUUAGGCUGACAUGCGC
rnacentral:lncRNA from 1 species